CCUACGGGAGGCAGCAGUGGGGGAUAUUGCACAAUGGGGGGAACCCUGAUGCAGCGACGCCGCGUGGGUGAAGAAGCGCCUCGGCGCGUAAAGCCCUGUCAGCAGGGAAGAAAAUGACGGUACCUGAAGAAGAAGCCCCGGCUAACUACGUGCCAGCAGCCGCGGUAAUACGUAGGGGGCAAGCGUUAUCCGGAUUUACUGGGUGGAAAGGGGGCGCAGACGGCGAUGCAAGCCAGGAGUGAACGCCCGGGGCCCAACCCCGGGACUGCUCUUGGAACUGCGUGGCUGGAGUGCAGGAGGGGGAGGCGGAAUUCCUGGUGUAGCGGUGAAAUGCGUAGAUAUCAGGAGGAACACCGGUGGCGAAGGCGGCCUGCUGGACUGCAACUGACGUUGAGGCCCGAAAGCGUGGGGAGCAAACAGGAUUAGAUACCCUAGUAGUC
rnacentral:rRNA from 1 species